AGCGCAGACGGUUUAUUAAGUCUGAUGUGAAAGCCCGGAGCUCAACUCCGGAAUGGCAUUGGAAACUGGUUAACUUGAGUGAAGUAGAGGUAAGUGGAACUCCAUGUGUAGCGGUGGAAUGCGUAGAUAUAUGGAAGAACACCAGUGGCGAAGGCGGCUUACUGGACUGCAACUGACGUUGAGGCUCGAAAGUGUGGGUAGCAAACA
rnacentral:rRNA from 1 species